AAAUCGGAGUGUUUGAUUUCUAACUUCGCGGAGCGUUACGUUGGCGGCCGACAACGUAACAUCGGGAGUUAGUAAUGAAGAACACUUCUUUACUUUCGCAUGAUUUGGGGUUGUCUUUUGAGCGGGGAUGCGAUAGCGUGAGUAUUUCUAACUUACGCUUUUAUGAUGUUGUAGUGACGAUGCCGAUUACUCGCUCCCAAUCUGCCGGGGCGGACAAUGCGGCAAACUUCGAGGAGGUCGAGACCUCCGCUACCUCCGGAUCCAGCGAGGUCCGUGAGUUGAGGGGCCAGCUUGCGGCCCUCACUGAUUUGGUCACUCAGCAGGCGGAGGCAGCCCGACAGCAGACCAAGGCGGCGCACCGACAGGAGGUGCGGAUGAAGCGUCUGGAGGACUUGCUCCUACAGCAGGCGGCAG
rnacentral:lncRNA from 1 species